CAAGGAACAGAAUAUACUAUAUAUGUGUGAACAAUGGGUUGACUAAUCUGCGUGGGAGGGUAAGAUACGGAGAGAAAAAAAGAAAAAACGGAAGAGCCUUAACAGUAAAAUAGGCGUGGAGGUUUCACACAGUUUCACGCCCCAGCUCUCAAUCCUGUCAUUCAACAACUUGUAUGGUAGAGGGACAGGUCGGCUUUUCACUCCUACUACAGGGACAGGAGAAUGUUUGGAUGAGCACAUGUGGGAUUCUUAACUGAAACUUUUUAAAGAAGGAAAGAAAAGAAAACCCUCAUGUGGCAGGUGUGACCUUAAACCAGGGACAAGAGGACGAGGCACCUGCCAACUAUAUUAUUAAGGCUUAAACAUCAUCCUGAGUAAAACACUGGAUAAACCAAGGAUACGCUUGUGGACUGAGACUGAGGAGCGGGUUCAGAGCGGUGCCUUUUAAACUGGAUCAGAGUUGAACAAAUCACCUCAGACGUCUGUGAAAAUGUCUGAGGACCCACUGAACACCACGCCAGGUUCGGCUGAUGUUAUGUUAGAGAUGAGCAGCAGUGAAGGAGACGCCGCGUCCUGCCGGGAGGACAGGUACAACAGGAAACUGGCCAUCUGCAGCAUCAUCUGUGGGAUCUCCUGCAUCGGGAUCAAAGCUUUGAUAUAUUCAGUCAAGGCUGAGAAAACAGAGGAUUCAGUGAGAUCCGCGAAGUAUUCACGACAGGCGAGAAAAUACGGCAUCAUAUCCAUCGUAGUGUUGAUUUGCUGUUUGGCCAUAAUCCCCAUGCUGAUGGCGCUGAUCUCAUAUCUUUUCACUCUGAAAGACUGAUCGACUUUGGAUGGACGCCAAACGACGGCGUGGCUCUUUCUGACUAUGGAGGAUUACAGAGACAGUGGACUGUACAGAGGUGCUCAUGCUAUAUUACAAGAAGACGUGAAGAAACUGGUAUUUACAUGUAACACAAAAAUAACCACUGCUGUAGCUUUUCUUGUUGUUGUCCCAGUUUCCGUCUCACUGCUUCCUCUUAAACAUCCUCAUAUUUUACACAAGGAAACCACUCAAGAAAAUAGUGUUAAAAACCGUCUUUUCUUACACGCUGUAAUAUUUAUUUAAUAUAUAUGGACCACUCUAAAUGACAAUAGAAAAUUCAACAUUGCUGAUAGUUUGAGACAUGAAACAACUUGAUACAUACAGUAUAUCAAACAUUACAAUUCCUCACUAACGACCCAAUCCUUAAUAUUUUUUGGGGUCUGUUCUAGAAGGCAGAGAUCAUGGCAGUGCUUCGUCAGAACAUAAGAGGAGACCCUGCUCUUGUUGCACCAACAUUAUCUUGGCAUUAUUGCAUUGUAAGCGUAUUAACUUUAUUAAUAUUGAAUGUAUCAAUAUGCUGUACCAUAUACAAACAUGUAACAGAGACAAUUUUGUAAUAAAAAUGACAAACGUAA